CCUACGGGAGGCAGCAGUGGGGAAUAUUGCACAAUGGGGGAAACCCUGAUGCAGCGACGCCGCGUGAGUGAUGAAGUACUUCGGUUUGUAAAGCUCUAUUAGCAUGGAAGAAAAUGACGGUACCUGAGUAAGAAGCACCGGCUAACUCCGUGCCAGCAGCCGCGGUAAUACGUAGGGGGCAAGCGUUAAUCGGAAUUACUGGGUGUAAAGAGAGCGUAGGCGGCAGAGCAAGUCUGGAGUGAAAGGCCGGGGCUCAACCCUCGGACUGCAUUGGAAACUGUACGGCUGGAGUGCGGGAGAGGUAAGUGGAAUUCCUGGUGUAGGGGUGAAAUGCGUAGAUAUCAGGAGGAACACCAGUGGCGAAGGCGGCUUACUGGAAUAUAACUGACGUUGAGGCUCGAAAGCGUGGGGAGCAAACAGGAUUAGAUACCCGAGUAGUC
rnacentral:rRNA from 1 species